rnacentral:rRNA from 1 species
CCUGACUGCUAUCGGAUUGAUACUAAGCCAUGCGAGUCUUUGCAGUAAUGCAAGGCAUACGGCUCAGUAACACGUAGUCAACUUACCCUAUGGACGAGGAUAAUCUCGGGAAACUGAGCAUAAUACUCGAUAGAUCAUAAUGCCUGGAAUGGUUUAUGGUUAAAAUGAUUCGUCGCCAUAGGAUGGGACUGCGGCCUAUCAGCUUGUUGGUGAGGUAAUGGCCCACCAAGGCGAUUACAGGUACGGGCUCUGAGAGGAGAAGCCCGGAGAUGGGUACUGAGACAAGGACCCAGGCCCUAUGGGGCGCAGCAGGCGAGAAAACUUUGCAAUGUGCGAAAGCACGACAAGGUUAAUCCGAGUGAUUUCUGCUAAAGAAAUCUUUUGCAAGUCAUAAAACCACUAGUGAAUAAGGGGUGGGCAAGUUCUGGUGUCAGCCGCCGCGGUAAAACCAGCACCUCAAGUGGUCAGGAGGAUUAUUGGGCCUAAAGCAUCCGUAGCCGGCUCUGUAAGUUUUCGGUUAAAUCCAUGUGCUCAACGCAUGGGCUGCCGAAAAUACUGCAUAGCUAGGGAGUGGGAGAGGUAGACGGUACUCGGUAGGAAGGGGUAAAAUCCUUUGAUCUAUCGAUGACCACCUGUGGCGAAGGCGGUCUACCAGAACACGUUCGACGGUGAGGGAUGAAAGCUGGGGGAGCAAACCGGAUUAGAUACCCGGGUAGUCCCAGCUGUAAACGAUGCAGACUCGAUGAUGCAUUGGCAUAUAGCCAGUGCAGUGUCGCAGGGAAGCCGUUAAGUCUGCCGCCUGGGAAGUACGUACGCAAGUAUGAAACUUAAAGGAAUUGGCGGGGGAGCACCACAAGGGGUGAAGCCUGCGGUUC